UACGUAGGGUGCGAGCGUUAAUCGGAAUUACUGGGCGUAAAGCGUGCGCAGGCGGUUUUGUAAGACAGAUGUGAAAUCCCCGGGCUUAACCUGGGACCUGCAUUUGUGACUGCAAAGCUAGAGUACGGUAGAGGGGGAUGGAAUUCCGCGUGUAGCAGUGAAAUGCGUAGAUAUGCGGAGGAACACCGAUGGCGAAGGCAAUCCCCUGGACCUGUACUGACGCUCAUGCACGAAAGCGUGGGGAGCAAACAGG
rnacentral:rRNA from 1 species